UCUGCGUGCCUUUUGGCCACCUGGACCUUUCUGUGCCUUCCUGUAUUGGGGGACCCCCGCCCACCAUGAGGUGGAACUGUCCUCCGACCGGCGAGGCUGAAGAUGGCCAGGCUCUCACGGUGCCAGACUCCCCCGCGACUGCAGUGAAGGGGGUCACCCAGCUCUGCCGGCCGACGCCCCGCGGAGCUCAGGGGCGUCCUGCCUCGGCGCGGUUGCUCCGGCAGCGGUUGCGGGGCGGGUCCCGGGGCACCUGGCGCCCACACCCGGCGGCGCAGCCACGCCUCCUCCUUGCCAAACGGGUCCUGGGGAGGACUGCCAGCCUCUGCCGCUAGGGCCCCGCUUCCCAGCCUGGUCUGCAUCUUCCCAGAGAUUGUGAGCCACCUGAGAUUAAUUCCAUUUCUGCCUAAAUAAGCCAGGGUUGGGCUCUGUGGCUUCUAACAAAGAUCAGGCCUGAGGGGUGAAGCUUCCCAAAGGACGGCGGGUCCUGGUGGCGCUAGACGAGGGGCAGGUGCCCAGGUGGAAGAAGGGCACUGGGGCAGGAAGGGGGCCCGCGCACGUGGGCCUUCAGGCCGGGUCUCCGCGGAGGAAAGGGUCCCGUGCAGAUUGUAUUCCAUUAUGGGUUAUUACAAGACACUAGAUAUAAUUCCCUGUGGUAUGCAGUAAAUCCUGUCUGCUUAUCUAUUUUAGGAAAAUUUCUAAACAAAAAGCCGAACAUCAACAACAACAACAACAAACCAAGAUGAUGUCCAGGGCAGCCCUGGCCCUGAGCAUCUUUCUACCAGACUACGCAAGUCAGUUGAUCUUUCUGAGCCUGUUUCCUUGUAAAUAUUUCCUGACCCCAAAGUACCUCAGAGUGGAAGGGUCCAGACCCCCCUUUCUGCUCAGCAGCCAGCUGCACAGUGUCCAGAAACUCAGCUGCAUUGAGACUGGGAGCCUCCCCUGCCAUCUGGUAGGUUCCACGUGGAGGGGCUGGCUGCCUCCGUGACAUCACAGAGAAGCUCAGACCCCAGCCUAAAACGUCAGGAAACAUUCAUUUAUCAAAGGACAGUCAUCAGGGAAUAGGGUAUUGUUCGUUUGUUUGACGUGUGUGGUUUUUUUAAAAUGCCUUUGAAAAGAAAGCUAUAAACUGCACGAUGACUCAGGAGUU